GUGCUCACUUCGGCAGCACAUGUACUAAAAUUGGAAUGACACAGAGAUUAGCAUGGCCCCUGUACAAGGAUGACAUGCAAAUAAAUAAACAUCAUAAAAAAAAAU
rnacentral:snRNA from 1 species